rnacentral:lncRNA from 1 species
AGAAUCAUAGCGCUGCCGCAGGUCUCGGGGCUGGUAGUAGCGCUGCCUGCAAACCAGCACCAAGGCUGCAAACGAAGCCAGAAAGAUGGUGGCCAGCACACCUAUGGCAACUAUCACCACGGUCUCCAUGCUUCCGGGGAGCUCCUGACUCAGUCCCGUUCACAUCGUCCUCAUGGGCUAAGGCUGCUGGAAGUGGCAAACUGGGGGAAGAGGAUGGCAGGAGCUAGGUUCCUCCACGACACCUCCAGAGACCUGAGGGCCUCAAGCUGCAGCUCCGGGGCACAUCCCGCUGCGCUCCCACGACGGCCCCGCGGAUGGCAAAGUCAGCGGCAUCGCCUAUGCAGGCAAUCAAAGGAUGUUGAUGGAUAAGUGUUUCAGGCAGAAUAAUGGCCCUCAAAGAUGUUGACACCAGAAUCUUCAGAACCUUUGCAUAUGUUACCUAACAUGACAAAAGGGACUUUGCUGAUGUGAUUAAGGUUAAGAACUUUGAGAAGGGAAGAUUAUCCUGGAUUAUACAGGUCGACGUUUAUUUCUUUCUGAACUUUCCUGGAGGAUCAUCGGCCAUACUCCAGCAGAAGGGUGGAUUUGAAAAAAUAACGUUUCCACGGCAACAGUGGCAGCAAUUCAGAGAUACUCCCAAAGUCCCAUCCAGUUAUAUCAUCAGGUUGAAAUUCCAGGAUCUCUUGGUGAUGGGUAGUUAUCUCCAAGUGUGGCUCCUGGGGUCAGAUCACCUACAGUCUAAGAGAAGGUUCUUUUUCUCCGCCAAUGGUGAUAGAUUUGGCACCAAAAAAAGAAGAGAAGAAACAUGACAGUCAUUGUUUCCACAGUGAAUUUGACUUGGGGAAGAAGAAGAAAAGAAGGUGGAUUUCAGCAUGAAAGAAUCUAAACAGUCAUUAGUGAACAAAUGUGUAGCAGUGCUGUCCAACAGAACUUUCUGAAGAAGUAAUGGGAAUACUCUGUAUCUGUGAUGUCCUGUAUGGUAGCCACUGGCCUCACACAGCUCUUGAGCACUUGAAAUGUGGCUACUGUGACUGAGUAAUUGAGUUUUAAAAUUUCAUCAAUUUUAAUUAAUUGAAAUUUAAAUAGCCACAUGAGGCCAGUGACUACAGAAUUGAACAGCACAGGUCUCACAGAUGGACUAAGAGUAAGCCAGUUACGAAGAAGCUUAUACAGGAAGACCGGCUAAAAUAUGUCAAAGGAGAGUUUCUCUUUCUGAACUCCGAGGAGCUGUUCAAAUAAGACUGGUCUGGAGAGAGUUUUGGGUGGCUGGAGGUAUUUUCACCCCUCCACUUACUGUGCCUAACCUUAGUAUUGUUGCCAUUCUCACGUUUCUGUAUGACUCCAUCUCCCUUGUUCUGUUCCGAUGCCGCUUUUUCAGUUUUUCUGAGCUCUCAAUUAAACACAGUGAAAUGAA